rnacentral:rRNA from 1 species
GAGCACGUAGGUGGGUUUGUAAGUCAGACGUGAAAGCCUUCUGUUCAACGGAAGAAUUGCAUCUGAAACUACAAACCUUGAGUGUAGGAGGGGAGAAUGGAACUUCUGGUGGAGCGGUGAAAUGCGUAGAUAUCAGAAGGAACGCCGGCGGCGAAAGCGAUUCUCUGGCCUAUUACUGACACUCAGUGUGCGAAAGCUAGGGGAGCAAACGGGAUUAGAUACCCCGGUAGUCCUAGCCGUAAACGAUGGGCACUAAGUAGAGGGGUU